CCCCUCUCAGGGUCGCCCCUGGAGGGUUUCUAGUCCUCUUCCAGUCUUGGGUAUGGGAGGGAGAGUCAAGCAGGGGCCUACUCAUUCCAUUCCUAGUUUGGCCAGUGGCUAGUGAGUGGAAGGCAAUCUGCUUCCAGU